AAAGAUUUAUAAAACAUUAGUUUCGGAAGUCAUUGUAAUUAUUGCAAAUAUUUUUUUUUUAAUAUUAUCAAACAUUUUGAAUAUCCGUCAAAAAGGAUAAUGAUAAUCACUUUUUUAUCUGUAUAUAAUCAUAUAGAAGAACAAGUUAGUUAACAGAUGGUGGUAUGCGGUAGAUACGCUAUGAUAAUCGAGAAUUUUGUAUUAGUUUAGCUGGUUUAGCUCAAUUUAGCUUAAUUACUGUGGUAAAGUUGAUAGUGGAAGCACAAGUAGAAGUGUUAACAAACCAGUAAACAUGAGUUCCUCAUAUUUUAUAAAAAGUGUUCGCCCUUAUUUAGGUGAAGCUGAAGACUUACCUGAGGAAUUACAACUUCGUUUUUUAAAAUUUGCCCUUCAUGGUAAUUACGCUAAUAAUUUUUCUGAAAUAAAGAAAUGCUUUUCUUCUUUGAAAAUAACAACAAAAAGUAGCUUGUACAAUUUAUGUGGCACAUUCAUUGAACUUGUCAAACUUAGUCAGCGUUUGAAACCACGGGAUUUUCAAGACACAUUACAAGAAUAUGGAGUAGGUUUGAAAUUCAUUGAAAAUAUUUUAAAGACUGUACAAAGCUUAUCAAUGGAAUGCACCAUUCCAAAUCAGAAAGGUGAUAUUUCUGACAUUAAAUGGAAGAUAGAUUUAAGUUUACUAGACAGCAAGUUUGGUACAAGUGGUAUAGUUAUUCAUUUUAGUAUUCAGUUGACUGAUGGAAGGAGAAUUAUAUUUAGUAUGGAUCAAAAAAAAUUUCAUCUUUUAAGGUAUAAUAUUACUUUAAUAACAAAGCAGUUACUUAAAUUACAGCAGUUAAAUAUUUCAAAGAUAAAGUAAUUUUAAAAAAAAUAUAUUUUAGUAACAGAAAUUCAAUCAGUUUGAUUUUAUGUUUAUUUUAGUAU